CACAGAUGGUCUUUUACCCAAUAUUCCUCAAAAUAUUCUGCAACCAUAAAGAAAAGCAAGCACUGAAAGACUGCCUUUCAUAGGUGUCCCAGCCUCCCAGGGAGCGGGAGUCUCCUGGUGGCGAGUGAGCAGCACAUCCGUACAGCAUCCCACAGAUCUGUUCUGCAGCUUCACCCGGGAUCCCAACAGUGUCCUUUCGCUGCAGCUCUGCGCAUGGAGCCAGGGGAACAUCUGCGAAACACAGGCUCAGCUGCCAUCAGCAAAAUCUAUUACCUGAGGUGGCUCAAAGCACAGAGGAAUGAGAGCUCAAUGCUAACAGGUAAGAUUCAGACC